rnacentral:sRNA from 1 species
AUGUACCACGCGUCGCCUCCGGUUCCUGUGCGCCGUCCAUGCCGACCUGACGACUGCAAGCCGCGUUUUGUUGGCC